rnacentral:rRNA from 1 species
AUGAAGCAUGAUCAUUCUGUGUCUGGCAGUUACCAGGACGCCUAUAGGCAAGCAGCCGUUGUUUCAUGGCAUGAUGACCCUGAUGCGCUGGUGAAAUUUGCCACGUCUUCCUUGAACAUGGAGUCCGCCCAGUUGUUAACUAUAUUGCAGGGCACACUCACCAACGGCAGAGUUGAAUGCCUCACCAUGGCUCUGCCACAUCAAUAUCCACCUACCAAGUCCGAGGAGCAGGCUCAGCAAGUGACCCAGGCGACCUCAAACUCACAUGUCUUGAGCAAAAACCAGAAAAGGUUCAUUUCAGAGUUGCAGAAAAAAUUCAGGCGCGACCAAAACUUCUUUGUCAGAAAGGUCAAGGCGGCAUUGAGGCACUACUCCCAGCAAAAAGGGGUGCACUAUAAACUUCAUAUCAUCUGCGGUGUGAAUCCUAGUGUACCGGGCGGAUCAAGUGCUGCUCUUUUCAAGAAGAGGUUCCGAUUUGAGUACUUCCAUAUCAACUUCUUGGCAACAGCUAAGGGACCAAAUUCUGCUGUUGCAGCUCCAGAAUUGUUCUUCGCUCAAUGUAGCAAUAGUGUCGAAGAGAGGCGGAAGAGACCAUCCUGGUGCUCCCCUGUAUUAGAUUCUCGCAUAGAUAAUGUUCGAUGCUUCUCUUGUGAGUUUAAUGGGGCAAAGAUUGUGCAUCCAUAUGAUGAAUUAUAUUGGGGGCGCUACAAAGAUUUCAAUAUCAUAGCUCAGGGAAAACAUGGCACUCCGAAUGAUCUUCUCAUCAGCUCCUCCCAUUAUCAUUCUGACAUGAUGGCCACAAUGACAGAAGAUUUUAUCUAUUUUGAUCCCAACACGGACUCGGAGUUUGCAAAGAUGAAUCCUAUUUCUAAUGUGGCUAGGGAGUUGAAAGGAUUCAAGGGUAGAAUCUUCUGA